UACACUCCUACGGGAGGCAGCAGUGGGGAAUAUUGCACAAUGGGCGCAAGCCUGAUGCAGCGACGCCGCGUGGGGGAUGAAGGCCUUCGGGUUGUAAACUCCUUUCGCUAGGGACGAAGCUUUUUUGUGACGGUACCUAGAUAAGAAGCACCGGCUAACUACGUGCCAGCAGCCGCGGUAAUACGUAGGGUGCGAGCGUUGUCCGGAAUUACUGGGCGUAAAGGGCUCGUAGGUGGUUUGUCGCGUCGUCUGUGAAAUUCUGGGGCUUAACUCCGGGCGUGCAGGCGAUACGGGCAUAACUUGAGUGCUGUAGGGGUAACUGGAAUUCCUGGUGUAGCGGUGAAAUGCGCAGAUAUCAGGAGGAACACCGAUGGCGAAGGCAGGUUACUGGGCAGUUACUGACGCUGAGGAGCGAAAGCAUGGGUAGCGAACAGGAUUAGAUACCCUAGUAGUCCCAUGAU
rnacentral:rRNA from 1 species